rnacentral:ncRNA from 1 species
UAAGUGAGAACUUUCAAAUUCAGAGAAACCCCGGAAUUAAAAAAAUGGGCAAUCCUGAGCCAAAUCCUGUUUUCCAAAAACAAACAAAGGUUCAGAAGGUGAAAAAGGAUAGGUGCAGAGACUCAAUGGAAGCUGUUCUAACAAAUGGAGUUGACUGUGUUGCAUUGGUAGAGGAAUCCUUCCAUUGAAACUUCCGAAAAGAUGAAGGAUAUACGUAUAUACAUAUAUAUACGUACUGAAAUACUCUAUCAAAUGAUUAAUAACGACCUGAAUCUGUAUUUUUUAUAUGAAAAACGGAAAAAUUUGUUGUGAAUCGAUUCCAUAUUGAAGAAAGAAUGGAAUAUGCAUCGAUCAAAGCAUUCACCCCACAGUCUGAUAGUUCUUUUGAAGAACUAAUUAAUCGGACGAGAAUAAAGAUAGAGUCCCAUUCUACAUGUCAAUACUGGCAACAAUGAAAUUUAUAGUAAGAGGA